rnacentral:tRNA from 1 species
GCCUUCGUGGUGUAGUGGGCAGCACGCUGGGCGCGUAUUCCAGAGGUCCGUGGUUCGAGUCCCGACGAAGGCG